rnacentral:rRNA from 1 species
AUUGAACGCUGGCGGCAUGCCUUACACAUGCAAGUCGAACGGCAGCAUAGGAGCUUGCACCUGAUGGCGAGUGGCGAACGGGUGAGUAAUAUAUCGGAACGUGCCCUAGAGUGGGGGAUAACUAGUCGAAAGACUAGCUAAUACCGCAUACGAUCUACGGAUGAAAGUGGGGGAUCGCAAGACCUCAUGCUCCUGGAGCGGCCGAUAUCUGAUUAGCUAGUUGGUGGGGUAAAAGCCUACCAAGGCAACGAUCAGUAGCUGGUCUGAGAGGACGACCAGCCACACUGGGACUGAGACACGGCCCAGACUCCUACGGGAGGCAGCAGUGGGGAAUUUUGGACAAUGGGGGCAACCCUGAUCCAGCAAUGCCGCGUGAGUGAAGAAGGCCUUCGGGUUGUAAAGCUCUUUUGUCAGGGAAGAAACGGUAGUAGCGAAUAACUAUUACUAAUGACGGUACCUGAAGAAUAAGCACCGGCUAACUACGUGCCAGCAGCCGCGGUAA